AACCAGGUGGAGGCCUUCGGGGUUCGGCAAGAGCAGUUCUGUGAGCUGGCGGAGCCUGGCGUCUGCCUGCGUGACGUGGAGGAACCGCAGGCGGCGACCGCGGACAGAAUCCAUGUAAGACAUGCCUGUGCCUGCUUCCCCUUUGCCUUCUGCCAUGACUGAAAGUUUCCUAAGGCCUCCUCAGAAGCCGAGCAGAUGCCAGCAUCAUGCUUCCUCUAAAGCCUGUGGAACCAUGAGCCAAGAUUUUUCAUGGGCCGAUCUGCUGAAUUCAGCCUAGGAGCUGAGACCAACAUCUGAGUCUCUUCAGCACACAAGUUUGAAAGAAGUCCUAGCAACUUCAAGCUCAGAACUACGGGUGGCAGCAGCUCCCUCUUGACGUCGAAGCCUCCCAUUCCAGAGAGAGUCAAGGCCUGGAUCAAACAAAGCCCACAAGCACCGAUGACUGAGCUGCUGACUACCCCCAGCAUCUCCAACUCAACCUCCUCUUUCUGCCUCUACCCAAAUUUUAAAACUUUCAAACAUGGGUUUAAAAAUGGUAAUGAGUAAAGUUGCAUCCAAGUGUAUCAAAUAAAACUAAAUAUCCAUAAA
rnacentral:lncRNA from 1 species